AGGUCAAGCGAAGAAAGGCACGAGGCGGAUGCCUUGGCACUGGGAGCCGACGAAGGACGCGACAAGCUGCGAAAAGCCGCGGGGAGGGGCAAAUACCCGUCGAACCGCGGAUGUCCGAAUGGGGGAACCCGCCCGUCGCAAUGGACGGGCAUCGCGCGCCGAAGAAGAUAGGCGCGAGGAAGGCGACGAGGGGAACUGAAACAUCUAAGUACCCUUAGGAAAAGAAAGAAACAUCGAUAUCCCAAGUAGCGGCGAGCGAACGGGAAGGAGCCCAAACCGGGAGCCACGGCUCCCGGGGUUGAGGACCGCUCGAAGGACGGAAGGUUCCUAGCCGAGCGCGUUGGAAAGCGCGGACGAAGAGGGUGAAAUCCCCGUAGGCGAAAGGAACGUUUCGCGGGAGCGGCACCAGAGUAGCGCCGGACACGAGGAACCCGGCGCGAAGCAGGGGGGACCACCCCCCAAGGCUGAACACUACCCAGUGACCGAUAGCGAACAGUACCGUGAGGGAAAGGUGAAAAGAACCCCGGGAGGGGAGUGAAAGAGAACCUGAAACCUCGUGCCCACAAGCGGAGGGAGCGAAAGUGACCUCGUACUUUUUGUAGAACGGGCCAACGAGUCACGAGGCGUGGCGAGGUUAAGGCGCUGGAGCGCCGGAGCCGGAGCGAAAGCGAGCCUGAAAAGGGCGAAAAAGUCGCGUCGCGUGGACCCGAAACCGGGUGACCUAUCCAUGGGCAGGUCGAAGCGGGAGUAAAAUCCCGUGGAGGACCGAACCCGUACGCGUUGAAAAGCGUUGGGAUGACCUGUGGAUAGCGGUGAAAUUCCAAUCGAACCCGGAGAUAGCUGGUUCUCCUCGAAAUAGCUUUAGGGCUAGCCUCGGAAAGAGACACGCGGAGGUAGAGCACUGAAUGUUCUAGGGGCCUUCACCGGUUACCGAAAACUAUCAAACUCCGAAUGCCGCGCGAUCGUGACCGGGAGUCAGACCACGUGAGAUAAGUUUCGUGGUCGAAAGGGAAACAGCCCAGACCCACAGCUAAGGUCCCGAAAGAUGAGUUAAGUGGAAAAGGAUGUGAAGCCGCGCAAACAGCUAGGAUGUUGGCUUAGAAGCAGCCAUGCAUUCAAAGAGUGCGUAACAGCUCACUAGUCGAGUGGCUUCGCGCCGAAGAUGAACGGGGCUGAAACUCAUUACCGAAGCUUGGGACGCCGAAAGGCGUGGUAGAGGAGCGUCGCGCGGGGGCUGAAGCCCGCUUGCGAAGGCGGGUGGACCGCGCGCGAGAGAGAAUGUUGGCAUGAGUAGCGAAAGGCAGGUGGGAAUCCUGCCCGCCGAAAAUCCAAGGUUUCCUGGGGAAGGUUCGUCCGCCCAGGGUAAGUCGGGACCUAAGCCGAGGGCGAAAGCCGUGGGCGAUGGACGACUGGUUGAGAUUCCAGUACCGCCGAAAGCCGAUCGAGCGAAGCGGGGACGCGGAAGGACAAGCGGAGCGCGCCGUUGGUUGAGCGCGCGCAAGCGUCGAGAGGGCCGGGACAGGCAAAUCCGUCCGGGCUGUACCUCGAGGCGCGACGCGGAGGGAAAAGAGUACCGAAGCCGCCGGGUUCAAGCCGCCGAGAAAAGCCGCUAGCGAGGCCGUAGGCGCCCGUACCGCAAACCGACACAGGUGGAUGAGGAGAGGAUCCUAAGGCGAGCGAGAGAACUAUUGUUAAGGAACUCGGCAAAAUGGCCCCGUAACUUAGGGAGAAGGGGCGCCACCGAGAGGUGGCCGCAGUGAAAAGGCCCAGGCGACUGUUUAGCAAAAACACAGGUCUCUGCGAAAGCGAAAGCUGAAGUAUAGGGGCUGACGCCUGCCCGGUGCUGGAAGGUCAAGGGGAGCGCUCAGCGCGAGCGAAGGCGCGAACCCAAGCCCCAGUAAACGGCGGCCGUAACUAUAACGGUCCUAAGGUAGCGAAAUUCCUUGUCAGGUAAGUUCUGACCCGCACGAAAGGCGUAACGAUCUGGGCGCUGUCUCAACAAUAGGCUCGGUGAAAUUGUAGUGCCGGUAAAGAUGCCGGUUACCCGCAGCAGGACGGAAAGACCCCGUGGAGCUUCACUGCAGCUUGGCAUUGGAUUUCGGCGUCGCGCGUACAGGAUAGGUGGGAGGCGACGAACCCAGGACGCCAGUCUUGGGGGAGCCACCGUUGGGAUACCACCCUUGCGACGUUGGAAUUCUAACCGCGCGCCGUGAUCCGGCGUCGGGACAGUGCCUGGCGGGCAGUUUGACUGGGGCGGUCGCCUCCCAAAGAGUAACGGAGGCGCCCAAAGGUUCCCUCAGUGCGGACGGAAAUCGCACGAAGAGCGCAAAGGCAGAAGGGAGCUUGACUGCGAGGCCGACGGGCCGAGCAGGGACGAAAGUCGGGCUUAGUGAUCCGGUGGCGCCGAGUGGAAGGGCCAUCGCUCAACGGAUAAAAGCUACCCCGGGGAUAACAGGCUGAUACCCCCCAAGAGUCCACAUCGACGGGGGUGUUUGGCACCUCGAUGUCGGCUCGUCUCAUCCUGGGGCUGGAGUGGGUCCCAAGGGUUGGGCUGUUCGCCCAUUAAAGAGGUACGCGAGCUGGGUUCAGAACGUCGUGAGACAGUUCGGUCCCUAUCCGCUGUGGGCGUUGGAGGUUUGAGUGGGGCUGUCCUUAGUACGAGAGGACCGGGACGGACGCGCCGCUGGUGCACCAGUUGUCCUGCCAAGGGCACGGCUGGGCGGCCAAGCGCGGACGGGAUAAGCGCUGAAAGCAUCUAAGUGCGAAGCCCUCCACGAGAAAGGACCUCCUUUUCGAAAGAAUGGAGACCCGUGGUGGACCACCACGUUGAUAGGCCAGGGGUGGAAGCGCGGCGACGCGCGGAGCUGGCUGGCACUAAUCGGUCGAACGCUUGACCAAU
rnacentral:rRNA from 1 species